rnacentral:lncRNA from 1 species
UGUGCUUCAGCCCUGUAGGAACCGGCACUGCGGAAGGAGGCAAGGGUGUGGAAGCGAGGAGGCGGGUGGAGUGUAAAGGGAAACAACCCGGGAUUUGGAGCCCCAAACACGUUGGCAUGCGGGGGAUGCUCAGUAAAACUCCAGACCGGCCUUUCCGACUGCCUGCCGGUCAUUUAUUUCUAUCCUGCGGCACUUCAAACUUAAUAUGGCCAAACGGGAUUCAUCCUCUUUUCCAAACUCUGCGCUGGUUCCUCAAGUGCCCCCGACUGAUCGCACAGUUUUGUAAACUGCAUAUCACAAGAUGAAGCUAUUGAGCCAGCCCUGAUGGCCUAGUGGAUAAAGUUUGGCAGGCUCCACUUUGGUGGCCUGUCUUUGGUUCCCGGGUGUGGAACCACACCACUCAUCUGUCAGUAGCCAUGCUGUGGCCACGGCUCACAUAGAAGAGCUAGAAGGACUUACAACUGGAAUAUACAACUAUGUACUGGGACUUUGG